UAGGGAAUCUUCGGCAAUGGGGGGAACCCUGACCGAGCAACGCCGCGUGAGUGAAGAAGGUUUUCGGAUCGUAAAGCUCUGUUGUUAAGGAAGAACGAGUGUGAGAAUGGAAAGUUCAUGCUGUGACGGUACUUAACCAGAAAGGGACGGCUAACUACGUGCCAGCAGCCGCGGUAAUACGUAGGUCCCGAGCGUUGUCCGGAUUUAUUGGGCGUAAAGCGAGCGCAGGCGGUUAGAAAAGUCUGAAGUGAAAGGCAGUGGCUCAACCAUUGUAGGCUUUGGAAACUGUUUAACUUGAGUGCAGAAGGGGAGAGUGGAAUUCCAUGUGUAGCGGUGAAAUGCGUGGAUAUAUGGAGGAACACCGGUGGCGAAAGCGGCUCUCUGGUCUGUAUCUGACGCUGAGGCUCGAAAGCGUGGGGAGCGAACAGG
rnacentral:rRNA from 1 species